AAUGAGGUCCCCUCUCAGUGGCUGCUCUCGAGGCUGAGCAGCCCCAGCUCCCUCAGCUUUUCCUUGUCACAGACAUGCUCCAGUCCCUUCAUCUCUGUAGCCUCCACUGGAUCUGCCCCAGGAGCUCCACAUCCCUGCUGUCCUGAGGAGCCCAGAACUGGACACAGCACUCCAGCUGUGCCUCACAGCGCUGAGCAGAGGGCAGGAUCACCUCCCUGACCUGCUGGCAAUGCUCUUCCUAAGGCACUCCAGGAUUCUGUUGCCCUCCUUGGCCCCCAGGACACACUGCUGUCUUAAGGGCAGCUGGUUGUCCACCAGGACCUUCUCUUCAUUCCACCCCCACAGUAACACAUCUUCAGAUGGAUUUUAGGGAACAACUCGAGUGUUCUGGAGGAAUGUUGGGGCUCUGUUAUGAGAGGAAUUCCCCUAAGAUCCAUCCUGAUGGAGGCCAAGACCAGGGCACUGUCCCUCUUCUUCACUCAGGCUCAAUCUGGGUCACCUCACCCAGCAAGAAUCAUUCCCCAAAUCCCCAUCACUGACACCUUCCUUAGGCGGUUGACAUUCCACAAGUCAAUUAAGGAAUUGCCUGCACUAAAAGGCAGGUACAAAGUCCUGUGUGAAGAGAGCAGGAAAUAUCCAGGAUAUUCCCACUGUCCAUGGAGGUAACUCAUGAAGAUGGAGAAGGAGGUUCCCUGGCUGAGGUUACGGCAGCAACUUAUUUUGCCUUGUUUUUGGAGAUUUCCUUGGUUCUGCUGCAAUGGAAAUAAACACACUUUACGAGACUUACCUGGUUGGAAUCAACAUCAGCACUGGAACAGACCAAGCCAAAGGUGUGUUCUUCUUUCUCUCAGUUUGUAUUUUCUGUGCAUGACAUAAAUUGCAACUGGGGAGCAAAUACUCAAGUUCAAGAACUUCAUCUGCAGAGUGAAACUCCUUCAUCUGUCUGUAGAUGGGCAAAAUGUAACUUAAAUGGGGCUUCACCUGCCACAGACACUUCUGUGGUGUGGGAACAGCUUUGGGCUGAAUUCUACCUCCUGUGGUUCACAGAGCUGAACAAAUAAUGUCCUUGCUAGAACUUCCCUGAUUUAUGCCUGAAUUUUAGUGAGAACAACUUUAUGAGUUCUACAGGACAAAAAGAAUCCACAAAGCAUCUUGUUUGAUGUUUCAGUCAAACUCUUAUUAAAACUCAGAGGUGAACAGUUUCUACGCUGAAAGCAAUUUUCCCUUCAUGCUUAAACAUUCUGCAUCCUGGCUGUGUUUGUUGUUCUUUGUCUAGUAGCAAGAUUAAAAUCACGCAUUUUCUUCUGAAGGCAAACCUGACAAAAAAGCCACUUUGUUCACUAUCCACCAUCCAGGAUGAUUUUGGACAUAAAAUUAGAAAUUCUAGCAAGCUGGGUCUAGAUAUUGACACACAGGGCAUCAGAUGCAGAGCUCUGAGAGCACAAAGCAGAGCUCAAUAGAUUUCUGCAGCUGCCUGGUCAGCAAAAAGCCUCCACCUAAUCCUACACAAAUCCAGAGCCACGGAGCUUUCAGGAGCAGAUAAGAAAAGAAAACCCUGAAAUUCUUGGCUUUGGUGAGUCUGUGCAGUGGCUGACCACUUCCAGAAAUGUUCGCUUCCCAAAUAAUGACCAACAAGCUAAAAAAAAAAAAGGCUUUAAAACUUACAUCGAUAUUGUCAUUUAUAUGUAAAGUUUAGAUCUCUCAAGGCUGUUGGUAAAAGUAGAGGAACCUGAGUGAAUUUUCAGUCCUGUUACAGCACUUUUUCAGCCAGAAAAGGAAACUGAGACAGAAUCAUUUCCAUGUAGCCACUAUUCACAGAUC